GAGAAAACUGGGGGGAAUUUUAUCAGCUCAAGUUGGACUCCCCCACUAACUCUCUUUCUCUUUUCCUCCCUCCUUUCCCCUUUUUUUCCUCUCCCCCCCCCCUCUUUCUUUCUCUCUCUCUCUCUUUUCUUUUUUUUUUUAAAGGGAAGGCAUUAUUUCUGAAAGAACCAGGAUGGCGCCAGCCGGCUCAGUAUUCAGAGACAGCUGCGGCGAGACACAACUUAAGGAGGUUCUCGUGUCAUCAGCAAGAACAGGGAGGAGCCUGUCCGCCAACGAGGAGGGGACAAAGAGGGGGCGAUUUGGAAACAAGGUGUCUUAUUCUCCCCCCACCCCCUACCUCGGUCGCGUUAUGGAGCGAAUAAAAUGGAAAGUAGCAAACCCCUGGAAUGAAGAGAAAACUGGGCGAAAGAAAACUUAAAAAUAAGGAGUGUUUUCUUGAUUAACUAGAACAGGAGUCUAUUUACUCAGAAGUAAGUCCUCCGGAGUUAAUUUAUUUCCUGGGGAAAUAGGACAUGAGAUCUACGGAACACUGAACAAAAAAAGGGGGUUUCUACAUCAACUUUAAGGAAGCGAAAGGAGGUGAUCCCAAUGCUCCGGCUUAAUUAACCCGUGGACCGACCUUUACAGAGCUUUCUUCUUUUCCUCUACAUUAAUACAGAUUUGAGCCCAGGCCCUGUUGUAUUUCAGUGAUCAAAACAACCAGCGGAGAUAUUUGCUUAGAUGGUAAUUAAAUACUUUCUGGUCACGUCCUCCUCGGAGGCCCGGAGUUCUGGCCUAAAUCGCUUUCUUGAGCGCAUGUCUCCAUAACCCCUCAAUACGCUGAUUCCAAGAUAUCUCCGACGCCCGGUCAUUCCUGCAGUCAAAAUUCCUGCAGCUUAAAUUUGCAGUCCUAGAAACACGGGCACGCAGGAAAACCCCACUAAACAAAGCAAGACUUUGAACUAAGCCACAGUUACACCACGCGUGUGUUCUGGAGCGCAGCUUGGACGCUUCAAAUACAGUAACAGCAAACUUUUUAAAGGAAAAAAAACUUUGAAAUACAGGGAACUGGAAAUUGAAGAGAAAAACAGUGGGAAACAUGUAUGAAUAAAAACACUGAAUAUGUGUAUUGCUCUUUUAAA
rnacentral:lncRNA from 1 species